GGACGGAUGUCUGAGUGGUUUAAGGUUCCGGUCUUGAAAACCGGCAUACUCCUAUGAGUAUCGGGGGUUCGAAUCCUCCUUCGUCCG
rnacentral:tRNA from 1 species